rnacentral:rRNA from 1 species
UACGGAGGGGGUUAGCGUUGUUCGGAAUUACUGGGCGUAAAGCGCGCGUAGGCGGACUAUUAAGUCAGAGGUGAAAUCCCGGGGCUCAACCCCGGAACUGCCUUUGAUACUGGUAGUCUUGAGUUCGAGAGAGGUAAGUGGAAUUCCGAGUGUAGAGGUGAAAUUCGUAGAUAUUUGGAAGAACACCGGUGGCGAAGGCGGCUACCUGGUCCGAUACUGACGCUGAGGUGCGAAAGCGUGGGGAGCGAACAGGAUUAGAUACCCCGGGUAGUCC